UAGUCUUUCUGUAAGCGUCGUAAGCGUCGUCACGUAACUGCAUCAUGAAUUUUAUAUUGUCAGUGAUCCAUGGAUGUGGUGUCUCUCUCACUACGAUCGUCUUUUCUGGCGCGUGCAGGUCAAAGAGACUUAUGAUCGAUUGAUUGAGACACCUCACCAUUUCACUAACAUCGUCCAUUCUGUUUAUUUGGUCCCAGUCAAUCAAAUCUAAGUCUUUAUUAAACUGUUCAAUGUCUAUAUCCCUAAUUGGUCUGUAAGUAAUAGUUCUAGGUUUGAUCUUUGUCUUUUUAAUGUCAAGAGUUAUAGUAACAAAAGCAUGUCGUCCCAAGGGUCGCUUGUAUGUUACAUUAACAUCUCGCACCUUAGCGUCUGUACAUAUUAGGUCAAUUGUCGUCUGGCUGGUUUCUGUAAAAUGCGUGGGCUCCCGUACGUGUUGUGUUAAAUUAAGCGUAUGUAGAAAAGUUUCAAGUGACUUAAAAGAUGCACAGUUAGUCUUUGAAAAGUCUAUGUUAAAGUCACCUAAUAAAACAAUCCUGUCAUAGUCAUUAAAAGAAGUCAUGGAGUCUGUAAUUGCGUCUAGAAAUAAGUCAACGUUUACCCAGUCUGGUCUGUAAGCUGUGCCUAUUAUUAUCUUUUUCCCAUUUACAUUCAUUUUAAUCCACAUUUGCUCGACGGUAGUAGCGGGGGGGUGUGGUAGGGUGCGGGCGGAGAGGCCCUGCCGCACAAAGAAUCCCACGCCUCCGCCCCGCGAGCGCAGUCGCCUCGGCCGCGCCACGUGACGCAGUCGAUAGCCGGCUACUCGCGGAGCGCGGCCCUCCUCGCCGUCACGCAACCACGUCUCAUUUAUCGCCACCACGUCUGCUAAAGAGUUGUGUAUAGUCACAGUCAGUUCGUCGUGUCCAGUACCAAGAGAACCUGCAUUAAACAGACCAACCUUAAAGUAAUUUGUUUUAAUCAUAAGUAUAUGAUAAGAAGUGCCAAUGCAAGGAAUACGGAAAUGUGAAGGGAUAAAGGCAAACACCGAGUACACAACGAGGUUUGCAGCCAGCAGCCUGAACCCGAGGCCAUUCCACCCGCCCCACCGAUGCUCCACUGCCUCUUUAUGUGUCUGACUAAUAGAGUGAUCAUAAAUUUAAGAUUAUCCAUAACAGCAUUGAGGCAACAGAGCAUGACCAUUAGAUAACACGAACACAUACAGAAGAAAAUAAUAUAACAGAAGAAUAAUUUACAAAGUGGAGCGAACUGGUUCCUCUCCAAAAAUAUUAAUUAGGUCGUUUGCGCAUCUGAUUCUAGAAGCCGGUUUGCCUUCGGCUUGGCGUACAAACACACGACCAUCUUUUGUCCAUACGAAUCGCCACGAAAACCGCUUACACAGAUCUCUUGCUUUACCAAACAGUUGCCUAUUUAGCUUUGUAAGUCUCUCAUUUAAGUAGAACCUCUUUGGUUCUCCUUCGAGGCCCAUGUCGGCUGUGGUGAGGCCGCGGCGCACGCGCAUGGCGCGCAGCAGCUCGUCCCGGGUGGCGCGGCGCGCGAGGCGCACGGCGAGGGGCCGCGCGCGCGCCGCCGCCGCCGCCGCGCCCUCCGCCGCUCCCGCUGCAGGCCGCAGCGCGCCCACCCGCACGGCGCUCACGAUGUCGCGCUCGUCGACGGUCAUGCCCAGCUUCAACGCAAUCACUGACACGAGAUGGAUUGGGUUCUCGGAUUUAGUCUCGGGUAUGUGAGAUAUUUGGAUGUCAUUACCCAGUAAAUCUUGAUCGCGAUCGUGCAAUUCCAUUUUUAAAUCCUCUAUGGCUUGCUCGAGGCUUUCUAUCGCAGGAGAUUUAUUGCUGGAGUAAUUGGUCUCCAUGGCUUCCACUCUCUUUUCCAUGUCCUCCAGUCGUUUAUUGCAUGCAAAGAUCGCGGCCUUGAAGCUAGAAAUUUCUUCUCUUAAUUCCUUAAAUUCGCCGCUCACUCCCCGUAUCUCGUUACUGCAAUGCGUUUUGAGAGAUCCCAGUUCCUCUCUGAACGAUCUUAUCUCCAGCGCAAGGUCAACGUGGAACUCUAAAGUUGCAUUAUUUGCCGUGCUAUUCAUUACAGCCUCAUCUCCCGCCUCGCCAUGAGCACCUGUUAUAAUCUCGCCAGAUGCGGAUAAAUUUGUAUUGCGUGAAACUGCAGCUCCUUUCACUGGUGUGUCAUCAUAGUUGCUUUGCCUACGCUUGCGCUUACAGCUGAGGCAAGCCCAGUCAGCGGCAACCACGACUCCUUCCAGCACUCCCGCGCAUUCGCGGUGAAAUGUUCCGGAGCAAAUUCCGCAAACAACGCCAUCUAUGGCCGAGUGGAACUUUCCGCAGUUAGUGCACUUGUUAGCCAUGAUAUUGUAUAAUGUAGUGCAACUUCAAAGUUCUCAGUUAGUCUACUAGAUGGCGCUCUUGUUUGACAAGUGACAGCAAACAGGGAGACAGCUGUCUAACAGCUGAUUUUUAAACAGCUGACCGCUAUUGUAAACAAAAAACACGGGGUAGAACUACCAAAAUACACUGGCCACCAAUCUAAUUUUCACUGAAUUUGCACUUAAAACACAGUUUUAUCUCAAUGUAUAUAGUGAAUAAGUCGUGUUAUAUGUUAUAGUUUAACUUCCCGCUAAGUAUAUUAAAGGAUGUUUACUUUUAACACUGUUUUUUAUUUAAAUUCUUAACACAGAUUUCACUAGCAACUGCCUCGAAUCGCGUCCGUGACGUCAUC